GGGAAGGCACUCCACUCAAUGGUUUCCCGCACAUUCAAGAAGGAGGAAGCAGUUCCGCAGGCUCGCGGUGCGGCAGUGUGGAGACCUGUCGUAAUGCGGUUCAUUCUACGGGAAUGACGCGAGGCAGCAGGGAGAAGUCCCGUCUGCCAGAGCAAUACGCUAUGU
rnacentral:ncRNA from 1 species